GAUGCAUUCUAGUGGAUGAGAAUGACAAGGUUGUUGGUCAUGAUACAAAAUAUAAUUGUCACUUGAUGGAAAAGAUUGAAAAGGAAAAUUUGCUACACAGGGCUUUCAGUGUGUUUUUUUUCAACUCGAAAUACGAGUUGCUUCUUCAGCAACGUUCUGCAACAAAGGUAACGUUUCCCCUUGUGUGGACAAACACCUGUUGUAGCCAUCCACUCUACCGUGAAUCUGAGCU